AGUCCUGUAGCUCAGUGGUUAGAGCACUCGCCUCGAAAGCGAGAGACCUGGGUUUCAUUCCCGGCAGGGCGA
rnacentral:tRNA from 1 species